rnacentral:lncRNA from 1 species
GGAUGUGAAUGGGGUUGGGAAGGGAAGACCAAGAUGUGGAGAGGGGUGGACCGAGAGUUAGUUGCAGAAGGCAGACUUCAUGGGGAUUUUCUGUCCCUGCUGCUGCGUUUCUUGUUUGUGUUGCUGCAUAAACUCCACCAGACCAGCACGCUGUGACUGCCCUAGCCCGGGCUGAUCAAUGGGAAGGGACCACUUGAAGGGCCUCUGUGCCUACGAGGUUUCCAGCCCUACCCCAGGCUUUUCCUUAUUACCAAGAUUGCUGCCCUCAUGUUCACACAUUUUAUUUUUUAUCAGAAUUUUGCGAAAUCAGAAUUCUAAACUUCUGAGGCCCUAGAUAGUUUUAAUGAAGCAUAUACCUAGAACCUGAAUAUUCAGGGUAAAAGUAUUAGCCUUAAGUAUAAUCACGGCUAGCCCAUGGAUUCUGCAGAUGAAGAAACUGAGGCCAGAAAGCCCAGUGUGUCUACCUGAAACCUCCACCCAACCUGUUUGUACACUUGGAAAACCCAACCUGGUGCAUGGGCUGGGUGAUAAUCAUGGCAACACUGCAGCCUGCAGGUGAGAACGACAGUCCGAAGCCAGCAAGAUGGAAUUUAACAGGCUAUGUAAAUCAAUCCCACAGUUAGAUUUCAGAAAAACAAUUGCACAAGAACAAGAUGGGAAAGAUAAUGUGGCUAAA